AACGACUCUCGGCAACGGAUAUCUCGGCUCUCGCAUCGAUGAAGAACGUAGCGAAAUGCGAUACUUGGUGUGAAUUGCAGAAUCCUGUGAACCAUCGAGUCUUUGAACGCAAGUUGCGCCCCAAGCCUUCGGGCCGAGGGCACGUCUGCCUGGGUGUCACAAAU
rnacentral:rRNA from 1 species